rnacentral:rRNA from 1 species
AACGAACGCUGGCGGCAGGCCUAACACAUGCAAGUCGAGCGGGGUUUUCGGACCUAGCGGCGGACGGGUGAGUAAUGCGUAGGAAGCUACCCGAUAGAGGGGGAUACCAGUUGGAAACGACUGUUAAUACCGCAUAAUGUCUACGGACCAAAGUGUGGGACCUUCGGGCCACAUGCUAUCGGAUGCGCCUACGUGGGAUUAGCUAGUUGGUGAGGUAAUGGCUCACCAAGGCGACGAUCCCUAGCUGGUUUGAGAGGAUGAUCAGCCACACUGGAACUGAGACACGGUCCAGACUCCUACGGGAGGCAGCAGUGGGGAAUAUUGGACAAUGGGCGCAAGCCUGAUCCAGCCAUGCCGCGUGUGUGAAGAAGGCCUUCGGGUUGUAAAGCACUUUCAGUAGGGAGGAAGCGUUGUGUGUUAAUAGUACACAGCGUUGACGUUACCUACAGAAGAAGCACCGGCUAACUCUGUGCCAGCAGCCGCCGCGGUA